AGCAGCCGCGGUAAUUCCAGCUCCAAUAGCGUAUAUUAAAGUUGUUGCAGUUAAAAAGCUCGUAGUUGAAUUUCGGGAUCAGUUUGUUGGUCGUGCUUCGGUACGUACUGUCAUUACUGGUUUCUACCUUCUGAAGAACCUUGAUGUCAUUAAUUUGGUGUCUUGGGGAAUCAGGACUGUUACUUUGAAAAAAUUAGAGUGUUUAAAGCAAGCAUACGCUUGAAUACAUUAGCAUGGAAUAAUGAAAUAGGACGUUUGAUUCUAUUUUGUUGGUUUCUAGGAUCGACGUAAUGAUUAAUAGGGAUAGUUGGGGGCAUUAGUAUUCAAUUGUCAGAGGUGAAAUUCUUGGAUUUAUUGAAGACUAACUACUGCGAAAGCAUUUGCCAAGGAUGUUUUCAUUAAUCAAGAACGAAAGUUAGGGGAUCGAAGACGAUCAGAUACCGUCGUAGUCUUAACCAUAAACUAUGCCGACUAGGGAUCGGAUGAUGUUUAUUUUUAAUGACUCAUUCGGCGCCUUAAC
rnacentral:rRNA from 1 species